rnacentral:rRNA from 1 species
UACAGAGGGGGCAAGCGUUGUUCGGAAUUACUGGGCGUAAAGGGCGCGUAGGCGGCCUUCUAAGUCGAACGUGAAAUCCCCGGGCUCAACCGGGGAACUGCGUCUGAUACUGGAUGGCUAGAGGUUGGGAGAGGGAUGCGGAAUUCCAGGUGUAGCGGUGAAAUGCGUAGAUAUCUGGAGGAACACCGGUGGCGAAGGCGGCAUCCUGGACCAACACUGACGCUGAGUGAGCGAAAGCCAGGGGAGCAAACGGG